rnacentral:lncRNA from 1 species
AUCUAAAACAAUUCUGAAGGACUUAUGAUGAAAAAUGCUAUCCAUCUCUAUUGAAAGAACUGGUGGUAUUUGAAUGCAAAUCAAGAAUACUUUUAAAAACUUUGCUUUUUUUGUUGCCAUUCACUUUCACAGCAUAGCUAAUAUAGAAAUAUGUUUUGUGUGACUGCCUCUGUAUAAUAUAUAUCAAAUUGCUUUCCUUCUCAGAGAAGGAGUUGAGGAAAGAAGGAGAGAUAAUUUGGAUCACAAAACUCUAAAAAAUGAAUGUCAAAAUUAUUUUCAUAUGCACUUGGGAAAAACAUAAAAUUAAAAAAUACCGUCCAUGAAUUUUCUAAUCAUUUCCUAUCUUUCUCUUCUUCAGAUAUCUUGAAAAUUAGUUCUCUGAAAAUGGAAAACAGUAUGGCAGAAAUGAGACAGAGACUGUCACCUCAUGCCAUAUACCAAGGAAUGAAAUGAAAAACAAAUCAGCUUGGCAGAAAAAGGUGAGUCAGCUAGUAUAUGAGAGCAAGUUCCCUCUCUUCAAUGUGGCUGGAUUGGAGCACUCGGGAAUAUCCUGUUUUGAGAAAGUCAUUUUGUAUCCUAAGUCCAUCCCCUCUCUGGCAGGAGGUAGGUAGCAUCCUUAUUUUCAAUCUUUUGGAAUUAUGGUUGGUUAAUGGUGCAUCUUAAUAUGUGUCUGUAAUAUGAGUCUGGAACCUAGAAAAUCUAGAGGAAGGAAUAGCUAACAUCCAUUAGUGUCUCUCUUUAAAAACAAUAUUUUAAGUAAGCCUUGGUUAAAUGCUGGAUCAUCAACUCAUGAUUGAAUUCUUGGAUAAGCACCUGAAGUGGUUGUAUUCUUUGUUGUUGAUUAAAGGGUGAUUGUGCUUUUGCUGUAGCAAGCUUUUGGGAGGAGGAGAUGUCAUCCUAUGGGAAAAAUAUCAGAGCUUGACAUACUGUGACAGAGAGUGAAGAGUAGCAACCUUAUGCUAUGAUCAUUUUUUUCCCUCAGCAGAAGAGAUCUUGCUUAUUAUGGAUGUGGAUUAUAUCUCAGCUCAACUCACAGGUUUAAGAUUCUAGAAUGUGCUAGAAAAAUGAACCAAGUGCAGUGGAUUCAAAGGCCAAUGUGAAAUAGUCCCUGCUUACAAGCAGCUUAUGUUCUUUGACAUAUAACAUUGAUUUGAGGGGUGGGGAAGAAGCCCAAUGAGGUUCAUAGGAAAGUGCUGAUGAUGUGAUGCCAGUGAUUUAGAGACUUCCCUAGGAAGCUGCUAGCUACUUCUGAGAACAGCUGAGAUGAUACUGGCUGACUAGAUAGUUAUUUCUACCUAGGGCUGCCAUAGGAAGCAUAUUUGAGGAAAUUUGAAUGUGUUGCAUACUUAAUGGGCUCUUCUGAGUUCUUUGUAGCUUUUUCCUCAUCCUAUAUGAGUGAGGAAAUGAAGACUGUCCUUUAUCUGAGAUAUAUAUAUAUAUAUAUAUAUGUGUG